GUGUAAUGAUGUCCUGCUGACUACAACUACGACUACUGGCGCCCCCACAACUUCUACUCCGAUGAUUCCUGCAGCAACAACUGUUCCACUUCAGUGUACGACCUGCAUAGACUCAUCAUGUUCCGUUGAAGACGUAUUGCCAUGUUCCUCUGAAACAAUGUGUGUGUCAGCAGCCAUCCUCGAGUCUUCCAAUGGAGCCGAGACUGAUCGAAUCUUCAAGGGCUGUGCAAACUCCUCCCUGUGUCCAUCUACAGGCCUUCAAACCCUUUCAACCAGUUUGGGUCCAACAACUACAGUUAUAUCUGCUAACUGCUGCGACACAGAAAACUGCAACUCGGCCACUCAAGCUGCACCAACUCUUCCAGAUCCAAACGGCC